AUUCAGCCCAGGGCUGGAGCCUAAUCAGGCGGGCACCUUAGAGGCAGAGAAGCCAGCUCCACCGCCAUCAGAUGUCCAUGCAGCUGUGUUCAGACCUUGACUGAACGUAGAUGACUGAGACUGCAGAACAGGUGCAGAGCAUUUAACUGACCGGAAAGACCAGAACUGAGAACAUUUCUCUGGAGGCCAGAACCCGCAUCUCAAGAUUCGGAUGCCAUCCCAGUGGAACAAAUGUCAGAGCCAUCAGUGAAGACCUGCAGGCCAGAGACAGUCCCCUGGGCCAGGGCGGUAAAGUCUUUGGUCGAGCUGGGGCCUGGCCCCACCCCAUAAAUAUCUCCCUGCUCUGGAGAGGGCGUGCGGAGAGGCGGGCGUGGAAGGAGACCAGUCCGCAGCCUGAGCUGCAGCACCAGCCUCCUCCCCUGAUAGUCCACCCACAGAGGAAAGUGAAGGCUGUUCCACCUUCCUUUUCCAUGGACAAGGGGCAGAGAUUUUAAUUAAAAUGAGUUCUGGAAAGUCACCCUCAUUUUCUGAGAGAGAGGAAACGUGGCC
rnacentral:lncRNA from 1 species